rnacentral:rRNA from 1 species
AUGAACGCUGGCGGCGUGCCUCAUACAUGCAAGUCGAGCGAACAGGCGAGGAGCUUGCUCCUCUGACGUUAGCGGCGGACGGGUGAGUAACACGUGGAUAACCUACCUAUAAGACUGGGAUAACUUCGGGAAACCGGAGCUAAUACCGGAUAAUAUAUUGAACCGCAUGGUUCAAUAGUGAAAGACGGUUUUGCUGUCACUUAUAGAUGGAUCCGCGCCGCAUUAGCUAGUUGGUAAGGUAACGGCUUACCAAGGCAACGAUGCGUAGCCGACCUGAGAGGGUGAUCGGCCACACUGGAACUGAGACACGGUCCAGACUCCUACGGGAGGCAGCAGUAGGGAAUCUUCCGCAAUGGGCGAAAGCCUGACGGAGCAACGCCGCGUGAGUGAUGAAGGUCUUCGGAUCGUAAAACUCUGUUAUUAGGGAAGAACAAAUGUGUAAGUAACUAUGCACGUCUUGACGGUACCUAAUCAGAAAGCCACGGCUAACUACGUG